CCGCGACCCGCACGGCCCGGACACGCCCGCCCUCAGGAAACGCCGGACGCUUGUGGGGGCAACCACGGACCGCAGGACAGAGACCCGCGGGCGGCGGGUUCUCUCGGUGGCGCCGUAUCCAGAGCAGCGCCCGCGUGCCCAGGCGGUGAUGUCGCCGCGGCCGAGGAUCCUCUGUGCCAGCUCCGGCCGCGCAGCCCGGGGAGG
rnacentral:misc_RNA from 1 species